rnacentral:rRNA from 1 species
UACGUAGGGUGCAAGCGUUGUCCGGAAUUAUUGGGCGUAAAGAGCUCGUAGGCGGUUUGUCGCGUCUGCUGUGAAAAUCCGGGGCUCAACCCCGGACUUGCAGUGGGUACGGGCAGACUAGAGUGUGGUAGGGGAGACUGGAAUUCCUGGUGUAGCGGUGAAAUGCGCAGAUAUCAGGAGGAACACCGAUGGCGAAGGCAGGUCUCUGGGCCACUACUGACGCUGAGAAGCGAAAGCGUGGGGAGCGAACAGG